rnacentral:rRNA from 1 species
CGAACGCUGGCGGCAGGCCUAAUACAUGCAAGUCGAACGGCUCUUCGGAGCAGUGGCGGACGGGUGAGUAACGCGUGGGAAUGUGCCCUUAGGUACGGAACAACACAGGGAAACUUGUGCUAAUACCGUAUGUGCCCUUCGGGGGAAAGAUUUAUCGCCUUUGGAGCAGCCCGCGUUGGAUUAGGUAGUUGGUGAGGUAAAGGCUAACCAAGCCGACGAUCCAUAGCUGGUCUGAGAGGAUGACCAGCCACACUGGGACUGAGACACGGCCCAGACUCCUACGGGAGGCAGCAGUGGGGAAUCGUGCACAAUGGGCGAAAGCCUGAUGCAGCAACGCCGCGUGCGGGAAGAAGGCCUUAGGGUUGUAAACCGCUUUCAGCAGGGAAGAAAAUGACGGUACCUGCAGAAGAAGGUGCGGCCAACUACGUGCCAGCAGCCGCAGUAACAC